GUUCUUUAUAUCGUGCUGCACACACAGCAUGCCCGCAAGUGUGUACAUAUGAAUGCGUGUGUGCAUGCGCUCAUGUGUGUGUGUGUGUGUGCAGGCAAGGGACGUUUGUGUUGUGUGUUUGUGGGGUAAAAUUAUAACCUAAAUGACCUGAGCCAAAAAGGUGCGACGACGGAAAAAACGCGACAAAAAUUUGCGGAAAUUGUUUUUCACAGAGCUCCGCACACGCACACACCCGCACGGAACAGUGCUUCAGUGGUCACGGUUUUUUUUUUUUGUUGUUGAGCAAACGUUUCGGAACUGAACGGGGUUUCUCGCACGUACGGAAGACGGGGACAGAGUUAAAUGCUGCCGGUCGAUCGCUAGCAAAGGAUAAACUUGCUUUCGUCGAUCGGAUUUACACAGGCAGUGCUGCUCUUCUGCUGCCUGGGAAAAAACCACACUCCACACAGUCAAACCGGCAUCGACAGUGACCCUAAAUGAAGAGACCGUUGUAACAUUUGCUCGGAACGAACCACCAGAAACAGCUUUUUUAUACCGAUGGGACAGCGACGAAAACGUAAUUGAAGAUGUGAACGGGUGGUUGUUUUAUGAUCUAAAUUUUGCCGAACCGAACCGCCUGCACUGUCCCGGGUUCCACAUUACAUGAAAAAAAAACACACACACACACUCCUCAGAGCCAGCAAUAUAUUUUAUUACACCGGUUUUAAUUCUGUCUUGCGACGUACGUGUGUGCGCCAUAUGUAUAGUGUGUUACAUUUUUAUAGCUGCAUUUAGCGCUAAAACUCUGUAUAAAUCGAAACGACCGUAUAAUGAUGUGAUGUGUGUGAAUGCGUUUAUGUAGCUGUUUGGUUUUAUUUUAUAUUUUAUUCGAUAAUAUACAUACAUAUACUCCAUAGCGUCCCUCUGUCCGGUGUAUGUUUCGCGGCGUUUGAGUGCAAUUUAGGGUAGGGUCGUGUACGGUGUGUUCGAUAAGAAGGUACGCAGCGGAACCGAUCAUCCAGCCUGGUUAGUUGUUGAGCGAAAGGCAUGUGAUAUAUAUAAAUAGCUGGUAAAAUAGUGGAAUCGGAAUCAAUAAGUAGGUUUGUGUAAAUGUCGUUGGUUGCAAGCAGGCAAGAGUGUCAAGUGAACCGUACGAGCGAUACACCAGUGAUCAGUGCUACGCUAAAGUCCAGACGGAGAGCUACUAAACGAUGGCUUGCAGCGCAAACCGUCACCAGUGAUAGCAAAACGUUGUUCGUGUUCUUUGUUCAGCCUGUCGGUACUGUCCGCGAGAUCUGCCAAAACUUGGCGCAUCAAGCCGAACUGUAUAUAGCUGCGUGCGCUCUGAAGGCUCUACGACACGGCUCGGCUCGGUAUCCAAAAUCACACAACUGCCUAGAGCGGCUGCACGAACCAUUUGCUUUGGGUCGUCCGAUUAGCAUUAGUUUUGUUGCAUUUUGAUACAUCUGUGUCAUCAGUGUGUGGUUGAGUGUGUGUGUGUGUGUGUGUGCAUCAUCGAUCAAUCAGCAACCAGUGCAUUCACCUAUCGCAUCAUCCGCCGUCCGUCACACACAAUAAACCCGAACACGCACAACACCAGCAACAGGGGAAGCAAAACACAUCAACAUGGAGAGUCCGAGUGCCGGUGGGAGGCGUCGGGGCAAUUCGCGAAUCAAUGCCGAAGAUCAGGCCCUUGAUCAGAUUGCAAAGGAGUGGUAAAAAGCGUAACAAGCAAAUGCAAAACUACAUCGAGCGGCUAGUGACAUUCGAGAUGGAUGGAUGCCACCCAGCUGUGUGGACCGGUACGGAGCUACCGUGUACCGACAGUUCCGCUGUAGAGCCGGCACAGAAAAGUAAUAGCAGCAGUGUGGGGGACAUUUACGUGCUAGCAAACACUGAGCUUUCGCCGGAGUUGGUCGAGGGUGGUGACCGCACGGUGCAGAAGCUGGUUGAGCUGAGCGCACUCGAUCUGAACCGGACCCCGAUGCCGGUUCCGGCGGAUGGGGACGAUUUCUACGCCUGCACUACUAACGCGAGUGGUUCGUCUUCACCCGAGCAGCCGCCAAGGGACGCGAGCCGGAACAGUGGUAGCGUCCGGAGCGAUAGCUACCAUGAUUCGUCCUCGGUGCCGGAUCCGGACAAUGGUCACCAGCAGCCCGGCACCCAUACGCUGCACGGUUACGAACCGCACCGGCAGUUUCAUCGGCUGUCGGUAUCGCACACCGGGGACGAGUUCAGUUCCGAGGAGGAUGAAGCGUUUGUGGAACUGCUCGAACGUGCCAGCGACAUCGCCGAGGCGCGAUUAGCAGCCAGACGACAGGCACGUGCAGAGGCCCGCGAAAUACGCAUGCGCGAGCUGGAGCGGCAACAGAAGGAGCAGGAACAGUCGGCGGAUCGGGUGUUUGAUCUGCAGCAGCAGUCGAUCGGUCUGUCCGAACCGGCCACCCUGGUCGCUACGCCACGCUCGAGCAGGAUGAUGGGCCAGAACGCGCUGACACGGGGCAGUGCCCUGUCGUCCCGCCGCAAUAGUGAGGAUUCGCUCGAGGAGGAAGCCCGCAGCCUGCGCGAUCUUCGGCACGAGCUGAAAGACGUUGAGGAUCGUUUCCGCAAGGCGAUGAUUGCGAACGCACAGCUAGACAAUGAACGCUCCUCGCUCAACUAUCAAAUACAGCUGCUGAAGGAUAAGCUGGAGGAGGUGGAAGAGUCCCAUGCGCAGCUGCAGCGCGAGUAUCGGGAGAAGUGUCGCGACCGGGAAGCGCUCAAGCGCAACAACGACAAGCUCAGCGAGGAGCUGAAGCUCGUCCAGGGUCAGCUGCAGGAGCGUGACGCGCUGAUAGAGCAGUACGGGCUAGUAAUAGUAACGGUAGAGAAUGAGGAUGGUACGGAUGCGCACCGCGCCCUAGUCACAGCGGAUAACGCCCAGCUGCUCAAAUCCGUUCCCGGCACACUAGACGUAAGACUGAAGAAGUUUGCGGCCGAAAAGCAGGAACUGGAAACCGAACUGCAGGCCCUCCAGCAGCAGCUGAACGAUAUCAAGAGCAAGGGCAGACGGUAUACCUCCAUGAACGGUUCGCUGGUAGACGACGACUAUGAGGAUGCGCAGCGCGAAGCGAACAAGCUUAUCACGGAGUAUAAGUACAAGCUGCAGAAAGCGGAGCAGGAGAUUGCCAUCCUGCAGGCUAGUCUAGCCCGCUCGGAAACGCAAGUGAUCCGAUACAAAAGCACUGCCGAGGCGGCAGAAAAGGCGGAAAGCGAUCUUAAGAUCGAACGAAGAAAGCUACAACGUGAGCCAAUAAUAACGCAAUACUGGGAUGAGUGUCACUGUCAGUGACAGCGCAUCAUCGCGUUACACCAUCAUUGCGCACCGCACCGAUGCGGCGUCCCUUCGUCUAUGCAUGCACAUUUCUCUCUAGCUAAACCACUGCCGCAAGGGAUCUUUCUCUUGCCAUCUCUUUAUCGCUCAGUCGCGCCACGCCUGGCGACUCUGUGUCUUCGAACUGGACGCGCUCCGUCUGAAUAUCUUAAUCACACCACACUCUCUCUAGUUAAGCUUUUGUUUCGCUGAACGGUACGGUACGAACCGUGAAGCCAUGGAUCGGCUGGAAGAGCUAGAAACAUCGAACAACCAUCUGCUGAAGCGGCUAGACAAGCUUAAGAACGUCAAGAGUACCAUCAUGAAGGAAAUAUGAUAGGAACCGUCGGCGUCCCGUGCGAGUCGUCCACCCGGGCCAACAGCCGCGACGAUCCGGGACGGUCGUGGAGGAUCGAAACAUGGGAACAAAUAAUUUAGUAAACGGACAAAACACACACACAACACACACACACACACACGCAAACCCCCUCACCAACGGUCGCUGGGAUACAUUUCGUUUGCCACAGGACCAUCAUUCCCAGCUGGAAUCGAAAAAAAAAAAUACAGAAAACUCCGUUCCCAUUGUGUAGAAUGAACCCCCGUUUUGAACCUCCCAACUACUCCUUCCCCCCCCCCCCCCCUCCCCGCAAUCCCAUCCUCCCGGAAGAGUGUAUGAUUUUCGUGUUAGUAUUUACCAUCCCCUCCCCUUGUUUAAGAUACGCCAAACGAAGGCGUAUGCGAAGGGUUUUCGGCGCACAUAUGUAAAAUAUAUUCCUUGAACAAUUAAGUAACGGUAAGACAGUAAGCAAAAACAAAAACGCCCGGCGUGUGUGCGAACACUUGCGGGCAGACGGGCGGAGAGGUUAUUGAUUGUUAACAAGGGCGAAACACAACAUUUUUGCUUAGAAGCUCCUAGUGCGCGGUCUGCUUAGAAAACAAAAUUCGCUUCCCCCCCGGGUUUGGAAUGAUGUAGGCGACCUUAGUUGCCGCUAGGUUUGUUACAACAACAAAAAAAGAAUGCAACUCGUUAUUAUUUCACACAAGUGUAAUUUUUUUUUUAGAAUUGAAUUUUCGCGCCAGCCACCUGUCCGACAGCUCGUAUGAUAUUGUAUGAUAGGUAUGCCUUCCUGCUGUCCUAUAUUUAUUUAAGGCCAUCACACACACACAUGCAACAACAAAAAGUCCGCUUGUAAGCACGAACGCGCGUUACACGUUACACCCCGUUACGGCAGUUAGCCUAGGCGUCCGACAGAUGCUGCCUGCCCUAGCAUGGCUAACGUAGACUUGUAAUAAUGCUGUGCCAGGUGUCGACAACAAAAUAGAAAAAUAAAAACGGACGUCAGGUUUAAGAAGGAUAACGAUCCGCUAACCAGGAACCCGACCUCGGCACUUCCAAUCGUGAACGGGAACGCCCCGAACGGACACGUACGCACUGUAUCUAGUAGUAAAUUUAAUGCAAACACAAACGAAACUGUCUUACUAUCCAUUGCUUGCCCCCUCCCCCCUCCUCCUCAUCCUUCGUCACCUUCCCCUUCUCCUCGCCGUCUCGUUUGGUAAAGAUUGUGCGAUGAAGCACGACAGCACCAGGCAGAGCUGUGAGUCCUAGCUUCACGCGAAAUCGUUGCAAAUCCAUGUCCCGAAUGACACAUCUCUCUCUCUCUCUCGCUGUUAUCAGUAUCGCUUUAUGAAAAAUGGCCUCCUAUAUCCCUCCCUAAUCCACCACCAACCAUUUUGUUUUUCUCUUACUUAACAAUUAUGAUUCGCAAAAGCAAACAAAACAAAACAAACACCACUCGAUAGAUUAAUACGCAAAUCACGAAGAGAACGAAUGGGGGGGGGGGGGGGGAGGGGGGGGGGUUAAUUUAGGUUUUGUUUUGCUUUUUUUUAAUUAUUAAAUUUUUGUUUUUAAUUUGUGCCGCACAAAAAGAAUUAACGAUAAGAGCAAAAGGAUGAUGUGUGUCCCGGUGUGUGUGUGUGUGUGUGUGUGUGUGUGCUGUAGCGUUUUGGGGGUCGUAAGUUUAUGCUGCAAAAAAUGUGUAAAUUUUGUUUGUAAACCAUUUUAAUUUAAAAACAAACAGGAAAAACCGAGAGGGCACCCGCUUAGCUGUGUGUAAAGUUUUGAUUUUGUUUUUGCAAUUCUUAUACGUCCAACCGUGAGACUGGUUUAACUUCCAUCCCCCUCCCCCUUCCCCAUUUGCUCCUUCUUCUGUUUUGUCCUCCACGUGGGCACAGGACAUUGAUAGCGUUGCUUUAAGGUUAAGCUGUUCUUACCGUGAAAUUAUAAUACGUAUACAUUUAAUAUAUAAAUAAUUGCAAUUGCUGUCCGCCGCCGCCCCGUGUUCUGUGUGGGCGCCUAAUUGGAAGCUUUAUUUGCGUGUUUUGUUUGCGCCACUAUGCUAGGGAAAAGUUAUUCGAGAGAGAGAGAGAGAGAGAGGGACACACACACACAUCAACACCGAUGGGAUUAGCGUGAUAAGUAAAAAUUCGAAUCCGGGGAAAACUGUUACAAAAGCCUGCCGGAAAAGCGUCCGAGGUUUCGUGUCGCUCCGUUCUGUCCUUCGGGAGUUCAUCCCCCCCCCCCUCCCCCCGCCUCCCCCUAUUAGUGAGAAUUGUGUGUGAGUGCGUGUUUGGCGGCCCCGGGCUACUGUACAAUUUGGGGCUAGGUUCGAGUAAGCGUGCGUUUUAUUGUAUUAUUAUUUAUUUUACCAAGCUGCGAAACGUCUUUCAAAACUGGCUUCGUUUUUUUUUCUCUUCUUUUAGCCUGAGCCGGGGGUUUUCUUUUAAAUUUAAAAAUAGCUUUUUUUGCUUAAAGUGAGUAAGAAAAGGAAUAAUAGCAGCGAAAGCGCAAAGGCGAAAAGUAUAAGCGAACAACUAUAGAAAAAAAAAAAUAAAAAAAACGAGAAGUUCUUAAAAGCGAAAACUGUUGAUAGAAUGAAAAGCGAAAAACUAUUUGGAAAAAAAAACAUCAAAACACAAUAAGAACAACUAAAAGAAAAAGACGAAUGUGUGAAAUGCGUUAAACUGAUGAUGGGGGAAAAAAGAGAGAGGCAGAGAGAUGGAAAGAGAAAGUGGAUGCAAAAAACAACACACGAUUAUAGAACAAAAUAAUCAAAUAAAAAAAAGCACACAGCCACACACACACACAUGCACGCAUGCAAAGAGGAAAAUCCGGUUGAGAGGAGGGAGAAAAGGAAAAGAAGGGAAAAAAUCUAGAAUUGAACAAACAAAAAACACAAACAAAUAGCACUCAACUAAAUCAACAACAAAACACAACAAGAACUAGAGCUAAACAGAUGAUAGAUGAUAGCAACAAUUUGUACUAAACGAGCAGCAAUCAGCAAAACGCAAAUCGAUUGAUAUGUGCAUGUGUGGUUGUGCGUGCGUGCGUGUCUGUAAGCAUGCGAUUUCUAUAUACAUUCGCAGGAACAACACAACACCCUACACCGUAAGCGUAACUCUGUGGCGUAACUAGAGAUGAGCAAAUAAAUUCUUUUGACUGAAGAUAAAA